rnacentral:rRNA from 1 species
CGAGUGAAGCGGCAAAAGCUCAAAUUUGAAAUCUAGUACCUUCGGUGCUCGAGUUGUAAUUUGUAGAGGGAUACUUUGGGACCGUUCCUUGUCUAUGUUCCUUGGAACAGGACGUCAUAGAGGGUGAGAAUCCCGUGUGGCGAGGAGUGCGGUUCUUUGUAAAGUUCUCUCGAAGAGUCGAGUUGUUUGGGAAUGCAGCUCUAAGUGGGUGGUAAAUUCCAUCUAAAGCUAAAUAUUGGCGAGAGACCGAUAGCGAACAAGUACAGUGAUGGAAAGAUGAAAAGAACUUUGAAAAGAGAGUGAAAAAGUACGUGAAAUUGUUGAAAGGGAAGGGCAUUUGAUCAGACAUGGUGUUUUGCGCCCUCUGCUCCUUGUGGGUAGGGGAAUCUCGCAGCUCACUGGGCCAACAUCAGUUUUGGUGGCAGGAUAAAUCCAUAGGAAUGUAGCUUGCUUGCAAGUAUUAUAGCCUGUGGGAAUACUGCCAACUGGGACUGAGGACUGCGACUUGUCAAGG